rnacentral:rRNA from 1 species
AAACCAGCACCUCAAGUGGUCAGGAUGAUUAUUGGGCCUAAAGCAUCCGUAGCCGGCUCUGUAAGUUUUCGGUUAAAUCUGUACGCUUAACGUACAGGCUGCCGGGAAUACUGCAGAGCUAGGGAGUGGGAGAAGUAGACGGUACUCGGGAGGAAGUGGUAAAAUGCUUUGAUCUCUCGAUGACCACCUGUGGCGAAGGCGGUCUACUAGAACACGUCCGACGGUGAGGGAUGAAAGCUGGGGGAGCAAACCGGAUUAGAUACCCGAGUAGUCC